GACGAACGCUGGCGGCGUGCUUAACACAUGCAAGUCGAACGGAAAGGCCCUUCGGGGUGCUCGAGUGGCGAACGGGUGAGUAACACGUGAGUAACCUGUCCUGGUCUUUGGGAUAACCUUCGGAAACGGGGGCUAAUACCGGAUACUCCCUCUCUGUCGCAUGGUGGGGUGGGGAAAGUGUUUAGCGGAUCAGGUUGGGCUCGCGGCCUAUCAGCUUGUUGGUGGGGUGAUGGCCUACCAAGGCUUUGACGGGUAGCCGGCCUGAGAGGGCGACCGGCCACACUGGGACUGAGACACGGCCCAGACUCCUACGGGAGGCAGCAGUGGGGAAUAUUGCACAAUGGACGGAAGUCUGAUGCAGCGACGCCGUGUGAGGGAUGACGGCCUUCGGGUUGUAAACCUCUUUCGACCAGGACGAAGCUAACGUGACGGUACUGGUAGAAGAAGCGCCGGCCAACUACGUGCCAGCCGCCGCGGUAAAC
rnacentral:rRNA from 1 species